GGACUAUUAGCUCAGUAGGUAGAGCGUGCGACUGUUAAUCGCAAGGUCGACGGUUCGAUCCCGCCAUGGUCCG
rfam:Fistulifera solaris DNA, contig: scaffold00281, strain: JPCC DA0580.